AUGGGAUUAACGGGAACAUUUGAUUACCAAUUGCAAUGCCUGCCGCGUGAGAAUGCGCGUGCGAUCUGGUUGGGACAUCGAUUUUCUUCCGAGAAUGGUAGGAAACCAUAUUUAACGGUACACGAGCUUUCAGUGAACAACGCUUUUGCUGGAAUGCAAAUUUGUAAACGGCGAAGGUGCGUAUGCACUAAGAAGAACCUUCAAGGAAUUUUAGCCGCUGAACUUUCUGCACAGCAACAAAACCAGUUGUCCUUCAGAAAUUUCCAUGUUCCACAUGGAGACCGGAAGCUGGCAUGGAACGUGGUACGGGAAAAAAGCAACGGUCAGUAA
rnacentral:rRNA from 1 species